rnacentral:rRNA from 1 species
CGCAGCCGCGGUAAUUCCAGCUCCAAUAGCGUAUAUUAAAGUUGUUGCAGUUAAAAAGCUCGUAGUUGAAUUUCGGGAUUGACACAUCGGUCGUGCCUUAAGGGGUAUGAACUGGUGUAGUCAAUUUCUCACCUUCUGGAGAACCGCGAUGCCCUUAAUUGGGUGUCGCGGGGAACCAGGACCUUUACUUUGAAAAAUUAGAGUGUUUAAAGCAGGCAUUUUGCUUGAAUACAUUAGCAUGGAAUAAUAAAAUAGGACGGCAUGAUUCUAUUUUGUUGGUUUCUAGGAUCACCGUAAUGAUUAAUAGGGAUAGUUGGGGGCAUUAGUAUUCAAUUGUCAGAGGUGAAAUUCUUGGAUUUAUUGAAGACUAACUACUGCGAAAGCAUUUGCCAAGGAUGUUUUCAUUAAUCAAGAACGAAAGUUAGGGGAUCGAAGACGAUCAGAUACCGU